CUUCUCCCACGUGGCACCAGUCUUUGCACUCGGUAGCAAACCCUUUCCUCCCCUGUUCCUUUUGCAAGCAGAGUGCCUUCACUAACCACAGAACUAGCAAGGUUCUGCCCUAUGCCAGGGACCCGGAUCCUCGGAGUCUGUGCAGGGUCUUUACUCCUUGUGUAUCAUGUAGAGCAGUACACCUGAUGGGAACAACGGGAAAGGAAGGGAUAGGCUUUGUUCCUGAUUUAAUGUGGUGUUUUGGGAGAGGGGGGAAAACUCAGAAGCUUUUUAUUUCCCCACAAAGAGUGGAAGAAAAAGAAGCAACGUUUUAACUGUGCGAGAGGUUUGGCUGAGUCGUGAGGGUUUGGUUUGGUUUUCCAUGCAGAGACUGGAAAUCCAUAGGGACACCUACACUUGUAGCCACUGAAGCUCGUGGCCAGAACUGCUUUUGUCACUGCAUUAAACAAGACGUGUGUUGGAGUUUGAGUUCGGUUGUCAGGCUCGCAGAUACUAUGGUCAAGUCUCUCAUAGUGAGAGAUCAGUUAAGUUAUGGGAAAUGGUUCUGGGUUCACAUGUAUCUUGAGUCUAAAAGGUGUGAAUUUAGGCUUUUUAAAAGAAGUAAUAGCUGCCAAUGCAGUCAAAUAUAUUUUGUAAGACUAUGAUCCCUAUAUGUCCCUUCUGGGAUAAAAUGUUACUGUUUUUAAGCUAUGGUUUCAAGUUUUUAUAUGAGGGCUUCAGUCGUUUCUUGGUUGCUGGCUUUCCCCUCCAGCCCCAGGACGUAAGAGCACUGAGACUAUUACUGGUCUCUCCCUGAGAGGAACCAGGAAGCAUUUUAUAUGCAAAUAGAAGGGGAGCUUUGUGCACCCUGCAGGGAUGGAGAAACUGGGGCUGUAGGAGCGCCCGUUGUUCCUGCGUCCAUUGCAACUUCCACACCAUCAGAAUAUGGGAAAAUAGCUAAUGUUCAUUCAGAUCCAUUAAGUUGGAGUUUUGCUUCCGAGGUGAAACCCAGUUUUGGAGGGUUCUCAUCUCCAGUUAUGGACAUAAUAAAUUCCAUAGCAUCUCGAUGGCAGAUAAGUGGGUUCAAGGCCGGACAGAACCUCAACCCCAUCAGAGGUCCUUAAGAAAUGGAGUCAGUUCCAAGUAUUGGAGGAAAUGUACCAUAAAAGAACCAAAUGUGAAUUACUUUAAUGCAACAGUGCUACUGCUCUGGGUUUUUGUUAACUCAACGUGUGCUGUCACAGUAAUUCAGUGUCCCACAGGUCUCAACUACAACCCUGGUUGCACUAACAACAAAACUGAGCUCCUGGUGCUGUGUGGCAACUGUUAACCUACAGUCUUCCUGAGGGUUGUUGAAGUCCCCAGAGGAGUGAUGUUGUUUCACCAUUCCUUUAGCUGAUGCAUGCUUUUGAUAUCCUGACCUAUAGCCCUGGCUACAGCAAGUCCUUGGACAGCUUCUUCGCCCUGUUCCCGCAGUGCCUUCACUUUAAGGUGCUGCCCUAUGGUGAAACCCCUAAGAGGGAAAAAGAGGGAAAAAAACAAAUGUGAAUUAAGUUAUUGUUGGGCUUCUUUGUGCAUUUUAGUACCAGUGGAACCCCCUUUAACUUGUGCCAGUCUCCAGUCACCAGCCGUAUAUCCCGUUGUCAUCUCAUCCCCAGUACAGCUUCUCUUGUUGAUGCUGGCCACAGCUAGAUUACUUGGCAUGUUUAUUGACUUCCCCGAGUUGGGGGCUUUUUUUUUGGGUUUGGUUUUGUUUUUUAAUGUAUACGAUGUUUAAAUACACUUCACAUUUUAUAGACUCCUCUCUGGCUAUUAGUAUUUUUCAGGAACCAUAGUUCUUGGUGGCUCUAUCUAUUUUUGUGACUUCUUUUGUAAACCAAGUGCCGUUUCAACGUUACAAUCAUUUUUAGAGUUCUUGUAACCAAUGUGAAUAUCAUGGGUUUUCCAAUCUGUUCUGAGCCUGUAGUGUUUGCUUUGUGAUCAUCUGUGUCAUGUAUAUAUUCUGUAUAGUUACAUUGUAUUGAAAUACUAGCUUGUUUGAUAUAAGAAAAGUAUGUAUUGGGUACCUUUUUGCUAGCCUGGUUGUUUAAUCUUUAAAAAAAAAAAGGUUUAAAAUACAAAAAAAAAAAGCCAAACUGGUCCCAUUAUAGGUCAAAAUUAAGGGGGGAGAAAAACUAGUUUUGAGUGUCUUUGGAUAGAAACAUGAAGCUAAGAUUUUUCAUUAAAAUAUUAAUGUUUUAUGGAGUAUAUCUUUGCUUUGUGUCGUUAUUUGACUCCGGAGGUUGGCUCGAAGCCCGAAGGGCCAGCUUUGGCCUUGGGUGAGAGGGUGCAGCUCGGGUCCUAGAGCUGCGUUCUCUUGCAGCUUUUGCUUGUAGUUGGUCUCAGAAGGGAGGAGGAUGAGGAGGACUCGCCGGUGCUGAAGCUGUCGUUGGGGAGGAAGGUGGCUUAAACCAAGAGAAGCGUUAAACGGUUGGAGAAGUGAUGUGAGUAAGGAGUAUUAAGAAUAAAGUCCACAUUUCUGUUUAAUUUUCCAUGGCAUAUCACAUUUCCUUUUGUUAAUGUUCUCUUUUAGGCAACAGCCAUCUUUUAGCGAUGGAAAGCCAGCUGAGAAUGAGCCAGAUCACAUUAGUCAGAGCAGAGGAUGGUUAAUAAGGACAGUAGAGAGUCAUCGCGAUUGCAGCUGUGAGCUUCAGAAUAGGCACAAAACACCCUAGAUCCUGGGAUUUAAACCACACCUCUGGUGUUUCUGGUGACCCUUGCAGUUGAUUUGCCUUCUCCACAUCCACCUGUGUGUCUGAGCUGGAAUGCUGUCGGGAUCAACACAUAGCUGGGGCACAGAGGCUGGGAUGAGAUCGAACUCGUAGCUACCGAGACUGUAUUAGAGCAGGGAACAGAGUUCUCCCAGGGCUUCCUGGUGAAAAUGAAGCUGCUAAGAGCAACCUGGCUUGGAUUACGUCUAAAGGGCUUUUCACAAGCUGCUUGUGCAUGCUGCAUCUCCAGAGUACUGAGCCGAACUCUGUCAUCAUCUUAGAGCAGAGGUCGCAGUGAGACCAUGAGCGAGCAGAGCAGGGGACUAGAAGGCAUUGGGAAUAGGAAUUGGAAAUGGAGCACCUGAACCCUUUGGAGGCAGGGAAGACAUCUCCCAGGUGAGUACACCUCUGAGUCAGAGGGGAAUAACCAAAAGUGAGAGGAGCAAGGAAACUGUG